rnacentral:rRNA from 1 species
AGAGUUUGAUCCUGGCUCAGAGCGAACGCUGGCGGCAGGCCUAACACAUGCAAGUCGAACGAAGUCUUCGGACUUAGUGGCGGACGGGUGAGUAACACGUGGGAACGUGCCUUUAGGUUCGGAAUAACUCAGGGAAACUUGUGCUAAUACCGAAUGUGCCCUUCGGGGGAAAGAUUUAUCGCCUUUAGAGCGGCCCGCGUCUGAUUAGCUAGUUGGUGAGGUAAAGGCUCACCAAGGCGACGAUCAGUAGCUGGUCUGAGAGGAUGAUCAGCCACAUUGGGACUGAGACACGGCCCAAACUCCUACGGGAGGCAGCAGUGGGGAAUCUUGCGCAAUGGGCGAAAGCCUGACGCAGCCAUGCCGCGUGAAUGAUGAAGGUCUUAGGAUUGUAAAAUUCUUUCACCGGGGACGAUAAUGACGGUACCCGGAGAAGAAGCCCCGGCUAACUUCGUGCCAGCAGCCGCGGUAAUACGAAGGGGGCUAGCGUUGCUCGGAAUUACUGGGCGUAAAGGGAGCGUAGGCGGACAUUUAAGUCAGGGGUGAAAUCCCGGGGCUCAACCCAAGAACUGCAUCUAAUACUGGUUCUCUUGAAUCCAGGAGGGGAGAGCGGAAUUCCCGGUGUAGCGGUGAAAUGCGUAGAUAUCGGGAAGAACACCAGUGGCGAAGGCGGCUCUCUGGCCUAGGAUUGACGCUGAGGCGCGAAAGUGUGGGGAGCAAACAGGAUUAGAUACCCUGGUAGUCC